AGCGCACACGGUGGAUGCCUUGGCGGUCAGAGGCGAUGAAGGACGUGGCAGCCUGCGAAAAGUAUCGGGGAGCUGGCAACAAGCUUUGAUCCGGUAAUGUCCGAAUGGGGAAACCCACCCGCUUGCGGGUAUCCUGCAGUGAAUACAUAGCUGCUGGAAGCGAACCUGGUGAACUGAAAUAUCUAAGUAACCAGAGGAAAAGAAAUCAACCGAGAUUCCGUAAGUAGCGACGAGCGAACGCGGACUAGCCCUUAAGCUGGAUUGGUUCUAGGAAAACGCUCUGGAAAGAGCGGCCAUAGAAGGUGAUAGCCCUGUAUCUGAAAGGGCCAUUCCAGUGAAGACGAGUAGGGCGGGGCACGUGAAACCCUGUCUGAACAUGGGGGGACCAUCCUCCAAGGCUAAAUACUACUGACCGACCGAUAGUGAACCAGUACCGUGAGGGAAAGGCGAAAAGAACCCCGGAGAGGGGAGUGAAAUAGAACCUGAAACCGUGUGCGUACAAGCAGUAGGAGCUCCGCAAGGAGUGACUGCGUACCUUUUGUAUAAUGGGUCAGCGACUUACUGUUCGUGGCAAGCUUAACCGUAUAGGGGAGGCGAAGGGAAACCGAGUCUGAUAAGGGCGCAUAGUCGCGGGCAGUAGACCCGAAACCGGGUGAUCUAGUCAUGCCCAGGGUGAAGGUGCGGUAACACGCACUGGAGGCCCGAACCCACUCCCGUUGCAAAGGUAGGGGAUGAGGUGUGAUUAGGAGUGAAAAGCUAAUCGAACCCGGAGAUAGCUGGUUCUCCUCGAAAGCUAUUUAGGUAGCGCCUCAUAUGUAUCCUCUCGGGGGUAGAGCACUGUUAUGGCUAGGGGGUCAUCGCGACUUACCAAACCAUUGCAAACUCCGAAUACCGAGACGGACUGUAUGGGAGACACACGGCGGGUGCUAACGUCCGUCGUGAAAAGGGAAACAACCCAGACCCACAGCUAAGGUCCCAAAUUUUGUGCUAAGUGGAAAACCAUGUGGAAAGGCACAGACAGCCAGGAGGUUGGCUUAGAAGCAGCCACCCUUUAAAGAAAGCGUAAUAGCUCACUGGUCGAGUCGGUCUGCGGGGAAGAUUUAACGGGGCUAAGCACAGAACCGAAGCUUGGGGUGCAUAACUUUGUUAUGCGCGGUAGAGGAGCGUUCCGUAAGCCGUUGAAGGUGGAUUGAGAAGUCUGCUGGAGGUAUCGGAAGUGCGAAUGCUGACAUGAGUAACGAUAAUGCGGGUGAAAAACCCGCACGCCGAAAGCCCAAGGUUUCCUUGCGCAACGUUAAUCGGCGCAGGGUGAGUCGGCCCCUAAGGCGAGGACGAAAGUCGUAGUCGAUGGGAAGCAGGUUAAUAUUCCUGCACCUCGCGUAAGUGCGAUGGAGGGACGGAGAAGGUUAGGUGUACCAGGCGUUGGUUGUCCUGGGGAAAGGCGGUAGGUUUGGAUCUUUGGCAAAUCCGGGAUCCUUUAAGACCGAGCACCGAGACGAGCCUUUAAGGCGAAGUCACUGAUACCACGCUUCCAGGAAAAGCUCCUAAGCUUCAGCUUACGCAGACCGUACCGUAAACCGACACAGGUGGGUAGGAUGAGAAUUCUCAGGCGCUUGAGAGAACUCGGGUGAAGGAACUAGGCAACAUGGCACCGUAACUUCGGGAGAAGGUGCACCCUUUUUGGUGGCUCGUGCGAGCUAUAGCUGAAGAGGGUCGCAGUAACCAGGCCGCUGCGACUGUUUAUCAAAAACACAGCACUCUGCAAACACGAAAGUGGACGUAUAGGGUGUGACGCCUGCCCGGUGCUGGAAGGUUAAUUGAUGGGGUCAGCCGCAAGGCGAAGCUCUUGAUCGAAGCCCCAGUAAACGGCGGCCGUAACUAUAACGGUCCUAAGGUAGCGAAAUUCCUUGUCGGGUAAGUUCCGACCUGCACGAAUGGCGUAACGACAGCGGCGCUGUCUCCACCCGAGACUCAGUGAAAUUGAAAUCGCUGUGAAGAUGCAGCGUUCCCGUGGCAAGACGGAAAGACCCCGUGAACCUUUACUAUAGCUUUACACUGAACGUUGAGUUCGUCUGUGUAGGAUAGGUGGGAGGCUACGAAACCAUGGCGCUAGCUGUGGUGGAGCCAUCCUUGAAAUACCACCCUGUCGUGCUUGACGUUCUAACCUGGGCCCAUUAUCUGGGUCGGGGACCGUGUAUGGUGGGUAGUUUGACUGGGGCGGUCUCCUCCUAAAGAGUAACGGAGGAGCUCGAAGGUACGCUCAGCGCGGUCGGACAUCGCGCACUGUGUGCAAAGGCAUAAGCGUGCUUGACUGCAAGAUCGACGGAUCAAGCAGGUAGGAAACUAGGACUUAGUGAUCCGGUGGUUCUGUAUGGAAGGGCCAUCGCUCAACGGAUAAAAGGUACUCCGGGGAUAACAGGCUGAUACCGCCCAAGAGUUCAUAUCGACGGCGGUGUUUGGCACCUCGAUGUCGGCUCAUCACAUCCUGGGGCUGUAGUCGGUCCCAAGGGUAUGGCUGUUCGCCAUUUAAAGUGGUACGCGAGCUGGGUUCAGAACGUCGUGAGACAGUUCGGUCCCUAUCUGCCAUGGGCGUUGGAGAUUUGAGAGGGGCUGCUCCUAGUACGAGAGGACCGGAGUGGACGAACCUCUGGUGUUCCGGUUGUCACGCCAGUGGCAUUGCCGGGUAGCUAUGUUCGGAAGCGAUAACCGCUGAAAGCAUCUAAGCGGGAAGCGCGCCUCAAGAUGAGAUCUCCCGGGGCACAAGCCCCCUGAAGGAACCAUGUAGACUACGUGGUUGA
rnacentral:rRNA from 1 species